GGGGAUGUAGCUCAGUGGUAGAUCGCAUGCUUAACAAGCAUGAAGUCCCUGGGGUCCAUCACCA
rnacentral:tRNA from 1 species